GCAGGCUUUGUCCUGUGACUGCGUACCUUUUGUAUAAUGGGUCAGCGACUUAUAUUCAGUGGCAAGGUUAACCAUCUAGGGGAGCCGUAGGGAAACCGAGUCUUAACUGGGCGCUCAGUCUCUGGAUAUAGACCCGAAACCAGGUGAUCUAGCCAUGGGCAGGUUGAAGGUUGAGUAACAUCAACUGGAGGACCGAACCGACUAAUGUUGAAAAAUUAGCGGAUGACUUGUGGCUAGGGGUGAAAGGCCAAUCAAACCUGGAGAUAGCUGGUUCUCCCCGAAAGCUAUUUAGGUAGCGCCUCGGACGAAUACUACUGGGGGUAGAGCACUGUUAAGGCUAGGGGGUCAUCCCGACUUACCAACCCUUUGCAAACUCCGAAUACCAGUAAGUACUAUCCGGGAGACACACGGCGGGUGCUAACGUCCGUCGUGGAGAGGGAAACAACCCAGACCGCCAGCUAAGGUCCCAAAUUACUACUAAGUGGGAAACGAUGUGGGAAGGCUCAGACAGCCAGGAUGUUGGCUUAGAAGCAGCCAUCAUUUAAAGAAAGCGUAAUAGCUCACUGGUCGAGUCGGCCUGCGCGGAAGAUGUAACGGGGCUAAGUA
rnacentral:rRNA from 1 species